rnacentral:rRNA from 1 species
CCUACGGGGGGCAGCAGUGGGAGACAUUGCACAAUGGGGGAAACCCUGAUGCAGCGACGCCGCGUGGGCGAAGAAGUAUUUCGGUAUGUAAAGCCCUAUCAGCAGGGAAGAAGAAAUGACGGUACCUGAGUAAGAAGCACCGGCUAACUACGUGCCAGCAGCCGCGGUAAUACGUAGGGGGCAAGCGUUAUCCGGAUUUACUGGGUGUAAAGGGGGCGCAGACGGCAAUGCAAGCCAGGAGUGAAAGCCCGGGGCCCAACCCCGGGACUGCUCUUGGAACUGCAUGGCUGGAGUACAGGAGGGGG